GAUGAUAGGUGUGAGCCACCGCGCCGGGCCUCAGUAUUUUAAGUCUGAAAAUCCCUGGACAAGCUCACCCACAGGGAGGAAACCGAGGCCUCGAGGAGCCAAGUAAAUGACUCCAGGACACACAACAAAUGCAGAAUUUGAAUGUCAACUGCAGAGCCUGAGACUCAGAGGGCAUCGGAUCCGCUCCCACAGUCUGAGAAAGAACCGAUGAUGGAGGAGAGCCCUCAGUGGAGUCAGACAAGGCACACGGGCAAGGCAGGCACGCAAGGAGCUGGUGCGGGCAGAUGCCGAUUCUCUCCAACCCUCGACCUAGGAGGCUCUGCGUGGCCCUGGCCCUCCUACUCCUCCUCAUCUUCAAGUCUCAGAUGAGAUGUCAGACUCCCAGCAGUCCUCAGGGAAGCUUCCCUCACCCUCCUGGAGGUGGGCAUUGCUCCGCAAGCCCACCCUGAUCCCGACGCCCCCAGCUGGUUCUGCAAUCCCCUGCUGACUUGUUUUCCCUUUGGUCUGAGAGCUCUGUGGAGUCUGGUGCAGACGGCCUGGCCUGGAGGAGGUCUUCAGUACACCUGUGCUCAUGGAAGGCGCGACCCUGUUGGGGACAGCAGGCUUUCUCGAUUAGGGGAUGGAAGAGUGAAGGGAGUGGAAAAGACGGCCUGGGCAUGGUGCCUCACGCCUGUGAUCCCAGAACUUUUGGAGUUCUAAGCAGGUGGAUCGAUUGAGGACAGAAGUUCAAGACCAGCCUGACCAACGUGGUGAA